AGGGCAACUGAGCCCUAUCGCUGUAUGCUAUGUUUUUCGGUGAGCUCAGUUGAACCAGCCAUUUGUAGCAGGCCUCGUAAAAAAACACCAUCAACGUGGAUGCUUCCUCUCAACUCUCUCCUGUUUACCUCUCUCUGCAAGUGCAGAGAAUGAAUCGUACGCCAUCACCGUCGUUAGCCACAUACAACCAGUGUACUCUGGUGAGUCCUCAGGUCACCAUAUCACUCUAUCUCUUUCAUAUGUUUUUUCUCUUUCCCUCUCACCUCUUUCUCAACCUAUUUCCUUAACUCUAUUUUCUCUCGGUGAAACAUCGAGAAGUUGCAGUGGCUAACACCAUCGCUAACCACCCAGGACGAUGGCCAUUUUGGUGAGCAAUAUCACACAACCUCAUCCUUCAUCUUGCCAUCUUCCCUUACAAACUCUUUGUCUCGUCGUUUUCCUUCUCGGUUCACUGAUGCAUAGCACCAUCGCCACCCAAUUUCGCGAACUCUGGUGAGAUUUCUAGUUCUCCGAUCAAGAAACAUCUCGGGGAAGAACUUCCCCAGAUUCUGGAAUAUUUAGGCUGUGGCCGUCAUGCCACUUUCAGGCUAUUUUUUUGGCCAAUGCCAACCACGACUCGGCCUAAUCUUGGUGAAACGCAUUGCAAGGAUCAUCGAUGCCCCCGAGGCGAGUUCGACCCGACGACAUGAUUUGUGAGUGGGUCUUUUCUUUUAUAGUAUAUAUAUUUGUUAGUUUCCAUUAAUAUAUUUGAAAAAGAAUUUUCUA